rnacentral:rRNA from 1 species
ACGGAAGGCAGCAGUGAGGAAUAUUGGUCAAUGGGCGGAAGCCUGAACCAGCCAAGUCGCGUGAAGGAUGAAGGUAUUAUGUAUUGUAAACUUCUUUAGCCAGGGGGCAAUAAGGCGUAUGUAUACGCCGAUGAGAGUACCUGGAGAAUAAGGAUCGGCUAACUCCGUGCCAGCAGCCGCGGUAAUACGGAGGAUCCGAGCGUUAUCCGGAUUUAUUGGGUUUAAAGGGUGCGCAGGCGGCUUUUUAAGUCAGUGGUUAAAUCGUGACGCUCAACGUCAUCACGCCAUUGAUACUGGAGAGCUUGAUUGCGGUCGAGGUUUGCGGAAUCCGUCGUGUAGCGGUGAAAUGCAUAGAUAUGACGAAGAACACCGAUUGCGUAGGCAGCAGACCAGGCCGUAAAUGACGCUCAUGCACGAAAGUGCGGGUAUCAAACAGGAUUAGAUACCCUGGUA